rnacentral:lncRNA from 1 species
GGAGACUGCAGUUUGCAGUGAUGUGGCUAAGAUACCCUUGUGCUAUUAAAGGCACAUUUACGUAUCUUUCAACGCAGUUUGUACCUUUGUUUAGGGUUCUAUUGAACUUUCUCUGUGCUCUUUAGAAAACCGUCGAAUAAAGAACUCAAAUGAUGCUGUUUUUGGACAGGGAGGUCAUGGACCAAGUACAAAGCGGCAAAAGGAUGGAAUUAAGGGAUAUUUCCAGUGAAAGAAAGAAGAAAGCAUGCUUUUCUCUUGACUGUGCAGAAAAAAAAUCUAUGUUUCUUUGAUUCUCCAUUUUACUAGAUGCCAUACCUUUGUAGUUACUUCAUGUGGAGUCUUGACCAAGAUUCAGGAAAUACUAGAACUUUCAGUCCCAGAAGGUUACUCUGGGCAUUACUAGUCCCCAUCAUUAUGAGUUGAGUUUUACUAGUUAAUUUCAGACGAAAAAUAUUUGUUUUUCCCCAAAUUCUGGGGUUACGUACUUUUAC